UACGAAGGGGGCUAGCGUUGCUCGGAAUUACUGGGCGUAAAGCGCACGUAGGCGGAUUGUUAAGUCGGGGGUGAAAUCCUGGAGCUCAACUCCAGAACUGCCUUCGAUACUGGCGAUCUCGAGUUCGGGAGAGGUGAGUGGAACUGCGAGUGUAGAGGUGAAAUUCGUAGAUAUUCGCAAGAACACCAGUGGCGAAGGCGGCUCACUGGCCCGAUACUGACGCUGAGGUGCGAAAGCGUGGGGAGCAACA
rnacentral:rRNA from 1 species